rnacentral:rRNA from 1 species
AGCCGCGCGAUGCCGGGGUCUAUGCCGAGGGCGCGCCGCUCCACCAGGCCGUCCGUGUACAGGGCGAGCGUCGAACCCGGCGCCAAGGGCACCGUGUGGUCGGCGAUCUCCUGCUUCAACGGGAUGCCGAGCAUCGCGCCCGGCUUGGCGUCCAGGGUCUGGACCCGUCCGUCCGGGGUACGCAGCACAGGCGGCGGAUGGCCGGCGGCGGCCCACGUCAGCGUGGGUUCGUCGGGGUGGAAGCGGGCGAUGACGGCCGUGGCGAACAGGUCGGGCUGGAGGUGGUGCAGGAACGUGUGGAGCCGGGUCAGGAGCCGACCGGGGCUGCCGCCGUCCACGGCGUAGGCCCGCAGCGCCGUACGCAACUGACUCAUCAUCACGGCCGCGCGCAGUCCGUGCCCGGUCACGUCGCCGACCACGGCGAUGACGCCGCCGUCGGGCUGGCGGAACGCGUCGUACCAGUCGCCGCCGAUGUUCAGCCCGUGGGUGGCCGGGAGAUAACGCGCCGCCAUGGCGAGUCCCGGCGGGGCGGGCAGCUCCGUGAGCAGGGCCCGCUGCAGCGUCUCCGCGAUGUCGCGGUUGUGCUGGUAGCGCUGGGCGUGGUCGAUAGCGAUGCUCGCCCGCCGGGUCAGCUCGAUCAGCAUCACCGCGUCGUCCGGGUCCCAGCGCUCCCCGGGCGGGGAAAGGGUCACCACGCCCAACGGAGCCUGCCGCGUGGGCAGCGGGAUGCAGAACAGGGGGCGUUCCGGGUCCAGCGCCGAGGGCGGCUGGUCGUCGACUCCGGGCAGGUUGCCCGGAUGCGGAGCGGCGUACUGCGGCCGGCCGGUGCGGGCGGCGACCACGGCGGCGGCCGGGUGGGCAGGGCCCGGCCGGUCGCCGUCCUGGUCGAACAGCCAGACGUCGACGCUCCUGGCGUACUCGGGCACCAGCAGCUCCGGCAGCCGGCGCACGAUCUCGUGGUGGUCCAGGGACGCGGUCAGCACGGCGCUCGCGUCCGCCAGGAAGGUCAGCCUGCGCCGGGCGUUCUCCGCCUCCGUGCGCGCCUUGCGUUCGGCGGCGAACGCCUCCCGCUGGGCACGCCCGGCGGCGUCCAGCUCGGCGUGCAGGGCCACGACGCCCUGGUUGGUCUGCUGCAGCUCCUCGCGGUGGAAGUCGACCAGGUGCUCCUGCUCGGUGAGCCGGUCCAGGACCAGCACCGUGUCCUCGUCGGCCCCCAACAGGGCCUCGGCCAGCGCGGCCGGGUCGUCCGGCGUGACAUCCGCGUCGGCCGUGGGCACCGCUUCCGGGCAGGGCACCGUCACCCGCCACGGCGGCUGACCGGCGGCCGCGGCGUCGCGCGACGGCGUCACCACGGCGUGCAGCACCCCUUGUCCGGCCUCCACCUCAGCGGUGGCGGGGGAGGCCGUGCCCGCCUCCAGCGUGAGCCGCCAGGUACCGCCCUUGGUCAGGCACAGCCGCAGCUGCGCGCCGAGCGAGGACAGCAGCCGGGCGCGCUCCAGGGGCGGCACGCCGUAGGCCGCGGCCAGACGCGC